CAGCCUAACACAUGCAAGGUCGAACGGUAACCCGGACUUCGGUCUGGUGGCGAGUGGCGAACGGGUGAGUAAUGUAUCGGAACGUGCCCAGUAGCGGGGGAUAACUACGCGAAAGCGUAGCUAAUACCGCAUACGCCCUACGGGGGAAAGCAGGGGAUCGCAAGACCUUGCACUAUUGGAGCGGCCGAUAUCGGAUUAGCUAGUUGGUGGGGUAACGGCUCACCAAGGCGACGAUCCGUAGCUGGUUUGAGAGGACGACCAGCCACACUGGGACUGAGACACGGCCCAGACUCCUACGGGAGGCAGCAGUGGGGAAUUUUGGACAAUGGGGGAAACCCUGAUCCAGCCAUCCCGCGUGUGCGAUGAAGGCCUUCGGGUUGUAAAGCACUUUUGGCAGGAAAGAAACGUCAUGGGCUAAUACCCCGUGAAACUGACGGUACCUGCAGAAUAAGCACCGGCUAACUACGUGCCAGCAGCCGCGGUAAUACGUAGGGUGCAAGCGUUUAAUCGGAAUUACUGGGCGUAAAGC
rnacentral:rRNA from 1 species